rnacentral:rRNA from 1 species
GACGAACGCUGGCGGCGUGCUUAACACAUGCAAGUCGAACGGAAAGGCCCUGCUUUUGUGGGGUGCUCGAGUGGCGAACGGGUGAGUAACACGUGAGUAACCUGCCCUUGACUUUGGGAUAACUUCAGGAAACUGGGGCUAAUACCGGAUAGGAGCUCCUGCUGCAUGGUGGGGGUUGGAAAGUUUCGGCGGUUGGGGAUGGACUCGCGGCUUAUCAGCUUGUUGGUGGGGUAGUGGCUUACCAAGGCUUUGACGGGUAGCCGGCCUGGGAGGGUGACCGGCCACAUUGGGACUGAGAUACGGACCAGACUCCAACGGGAGGCAGCAGGGGGGAGUAUUGCACAAUGGGCGGAAGCCUGAGGAAGAAACGCCGGGUGCGGGAUGACGGCCUUCGGGUUGUAAACCGCUUUCGCCUGAGACGAAGCGGGAGUGACGGUAAUGGGUAAAGAAGCACCGGCUAACUACGUG